rnacentral:rRNA from 1 species
UGGCGACCGGCGCACGGUGCGUAACGCGUAUGCAACCUACCCAUAACAGGGGGAUAACACUGAGAAAUUGGUACUAAUACCCCAUAACAUCAGGACCGGCAUCGGUUCUGGUUGAAAACUCCGGUGGUUAUGGAUGGGCAUGCGUUGUAUUAGCUGGUUGGUGAGGUAACGGCUCACCAAGGCAACGAUACAUAGGGGGACUGAGAGGUUAACCCCCCACAUUGGUACUGAGACACGGACCAA